CUUAAUUUGACUCAACACGGGAAAACUUACCAGGUCCGGACAGCAGAAGGAUUGACAGAUUGAAAGCUCUUUCAUGAUUGGUUGGGUGGUGGUGCAUGGCCGUUCUUAGUUCGUACCGUGAGGUGUCUGGUUGAUUCCGUUAACGAACGAGACCUUUGUGGGGGAAAAUAGAGGGGCAGAGGACGAACAGAUGUAGAGUAGCGCAUGCCUUUGAGACCCAAGAAAUUGACUUGAGGGUGGAUGAGUGAACGUCCGGCUAAAUUAAAGUCUUCUAGUCUGAAUAAAAAAAAAGAAGCGAUUCUUUUCUCUACUUUCCGAGACAACACAAGAAAAUUGUGAGGAAGUUGGAGGCAAAAACAGGUCUGUGAUGCCCUUAGAUGUUCUGGGCUGCACGCGCGUUACAAUGAUAAAAGCAGAGAGUGAAUGGGAGGGAAGGAAGGAGAAAGGGGAGAGUAAAAUCUUUUUUUUCUUUGGACGGAACUCUAAUACACGUUGGAUGAGAAACAUUUGACAAAUCUUGGAAAUUUUAUCGUACUAUGAAUUGUUAAUUGAAACUAUUUGACAUGAAAAAGGAAUGCCUAGUAGGUGCAAGUCAUCAACUUGCGCCGAUUACGUCCCUGUCUCUUGUACACACCGCCCGUCGCUCCUACCGAUUGAAACCAACGGUGAAAAAUUCGGAGAGAGUGGAUUUAGAAAUAGAUUUACGAUUGAAGUUUUUUAAAUCUUUUGUUUUAGAG
rnacentral:rRNA from 1 species